rnacentral:rRNA from 1 species
AGCAGCCGCGGUAAUUCCAGCUCCAAUAGCGUAUAUUAAAGUUGUUGCAGUUAAAAAGCUCGUAGUUGAAUUUCGGGAUCAAUAUGUUGGUCGUGCCUCGGUACGUACUAGCAUAUUGGUUUCUCCUUUCUGAAGAACCAUGAUGUCAUUUAUUUGGUGUCGUGGGGAAUCAGGACUGUUACUUUGAAAAAAUUAGAGUGUUUAAAGCAGGCUCACGCUUGAAUACAUUAGCAUGGAAUAAUGAAAUAGGACGUUUGGUUCUAUUUUGUUGGUUUUUAGGAUCGACGUAAUGAUUAAUAGGGAUAGUUGGGGGCAUUAGUAUUCAAUUGUCAGAGGUGAAAUUCUUGGAUUUAUUGAAGACUAACUACUGCGAAAGCAUUUGCCAAGGAUGUUUUCAUUAAUCAAGAACGAAAGUUAGGGGAUCGAAGACGAUCAGAUACCGUCGUAGUCUUAACCAUAAACUAUGCCGACUAGGGAUCGGAUGAUGUUAAUUUUUUAAUGACUCA